rnacentral:lncRNA from 1 species
CACGUUCAUAACUUGGACCUUGACAGGCUGCUGCUUUAUCAGACAAGCUGUCUGAUUUGGGACAGGGACAAAGUGAGGUCCAGCUAGUUUCCUGGACCUCCUUACAGGUGAUGUCCAUGUGGGAUUUCUAGGGUAAGGAUGAAGAACUUGUCCUGGUUACAGUCCUCUGAAGUCCUUUAGAAGGCUGGCAUUGUCAGAAUUGAUUUUUCCUACCUCACAGAUCUCUUCUGUGGAUCCAGUCAAUGUCAAAUGGUUGUGGAUGAUCCACAAUGUCUUCUGCCUAGGUUCUCUCUAGCUUGGGCAGCUGGAUUUUGUCGAAUUUUGAAAGAUCUUUGCAAGAGAGAUGCCAAACAUGCUGUUUGCCCUUUUUGUUCUUUCCACCACCUUCUAGGUUGUCUCUAGCUUGGGCAGCUGGAUUUUGUCGAAUUUUGAAAGAUCUUUGCAAGAGAGAUGCCAAACAUGCUGUUUGCCCUUUUUGUUCUUUCCACCACCUGAUCCUUGUCUUGUUAGGCCUCUUGGCUGAAGCAGAAGCUUUGAGGGUGGAAGGGGGUGCAGAAGCAGCCUGUGCCACUUCUCAUGUAUGUUUUUUUACUUAACACAGACUGAUUCUGAAGGUGAAGGGAAAAUGUCAGCUGCUGUCCAGCUUCCCACUGCAAACAGCAACAGUGAAGUGUCAGCUGCUGUCCAGCCUCCUGCUGCAAAGAGCAACAAGUUGUAUGCUGGCUCUGCUGCAGUGGAAUGUGGCAAAGGGGUCUUGAAACAAGCAUGUAGAGAAGGGAUGAAGGAAGAUGGAGUCUUGCAGCCAGCAGGGGGAGAAGCAAAAGACGAAGACAACGAUUCUCCCUGGGAUUCUGAGGUACUUUCUCUGAGGCAGACAGUGGAGGUCCUUCUGAUCCAUCUGCUUCACUUUCCUUUGCUGCUGCUUCUGCCACACGUUCAUAACUUGGACCUUGACAGGCUGCUCCUUUAGACAAGCUGUUCAGGGGGGGGGGGGGGGGGGGGGGGGGGGGGGGGGGGGGGGGG